rnacentral:rRNA from 1 species
UUGGUGAGGUAAGGGCUCACCAAGGCAACGAUCAGUAGCCGGCCUGAGAGGGUGAACGGCCACACUGGAACUGAGACACGGUCCAGACUCCUACGGGAGGCAGCAGUGGGGAAUAUUGCACAAUGGAGGGAACUCUGAUGCAGCGACGCCGCGUGAGUGAAGAAGGUCUUCGGAUCGUAAAACUCUGUCCUUGGUGAAGAAAAGGACGGUAGCCAAGGAGGAAGCCCCGGCUAACUACGUGCCAGCAGCCGCGGUAAUACGUAGGGGGCGAGCGUUGUCCGGAUUUACUGGGCGUAAAGGGUGAGUAGGCGGUUAUAUAUGUCAGGUGUAAAAGGCUAUGGCUUAACCAUGGUUAGCACUUGAAACUGUAUGACUUGAGUGCAGGAGAGGUAAGCGGAAUUCCUAGUGUAGCGGUGAAAUGCGUAGAUAUUAGGAGGAACACCAGUGGCGAAGGCGGCUUACUGGACUGUAACUGACGCUGAGUCACGAAAGCGUGGGUAGCAAACAGGAUUAGAUACCCUGGUAGUCCACGCUGUAAACGAUGAGUGCUAGGUGUUGGCCAGCGAUGGUCAGU